GGAGGCUGUGGGAAUGAUGGCGGAACAGGAGGAAGAUGAAGAGUUGGUGAUGAGGAGAAGAAGGAUGGCCUGGAGGAGGUGAAGAUUUGGAGGAGGAGUUGGCAGAAGGGGAGACGGAGGAGACCGAUGGAUCCUCUUACCGGUGUUAAAGGAAAAAGGAUCAUGGUUCAUCAUCAUGGUCUUCCAUGGCGCUCUCCAUAACGAAAUGUUGUUACUGAAGAGACAGCACUCACCCCGGGGCCCAGAGCCGGCACGACGCAGCGACUACAUCUCUGCUGGUGUAUCUUCAGCCAGCUGACAACAGGCUGAUAAAGACUCUUAAGAGAUAAAGAUCAAACUACUUUGGCGCACACUGAUAAGAAUCCGCUUCACUACGUGACCCACCACCACACAGUCAGAGGAUUUCCUCCUGUCCAACCUGAUUGCAAUGGUCCUGUUGAUAGUUAGUUGAAAUGAAACCACAUGGACAACACACAGACACACAAACACACACACACACAAAUAUACGCACACACACACACACACACACACACACACACACACACACACACACACACACACACACACACACACACACACACACACACACACACACCAGUGACGAGCAGUGUGUUUUGACAUAAGGCAUGCUGAUGAGAUGGUGCAUGAAAGUGUAGUAUCCUCGAAAAUGUGUAAUUUAGCCGAGUCACUGGGGGCAUUGUCACGUGAACAAAAUGCUCAGGCGUAAUCUGCUUUGCUUCCAACAAACAUUCAGCGCUUUGAAU
ensembl:lncRNA